rnacentral:rRNA from 1 species
AUUGAACGCUGGCGGCAUGCCUUACACAUGCAAGUCGAACGGUAACAGGUUAAGCUGACGAGUGGCGAACGGGUGAGUAAUGUAUCGGAACGUGCCCAGUCGUGGGGGAUAACUGCUCGAAAGAGCAGCUAAUACCGCAUACGACCUGAGUGUGAAAGCGGGGGAUCGCAAGACCUCGCGCGAUUGGAGCGGCCGAUAUCAGAUUAGGUAGUUGGUGAGGUAAAGGCUCACCAAGCCGACGAUCUGUAGCUGGUCUGAGAGGACGACCAGCCACACUGGGACUGAGACACGGCCCAGACUCCUACGGGAAGCAGCAGUGGGGAAAUUUGGACCAUGGGCGCAAGCCUGAUCCAGCCAUGCCGCGUGCGGGAAGAAGGCCUUCGGGUUGUAAACCGCUUUUGUCAGGGAAGAAAAGGUUCUGGCUAAUACCUGGGACUCAUGACGGUACCUGAAGAAUAAGCACCGGCUAACUACGUG